rnacentral:ncRNA from 1 species
CAGGAUAGCUGGUGCAUUUUAAUAUUAUAUAAAAUAAUCUUAUCUGGUAAAGCGAAUGAUUAGAGGCCUUAGGGUCGAAACGAUCUUAACCUAUUCUCAAACUUUAAAUGGGUAAGAACCUUAACUUUCUUGAUAUGAAGUUCAAGGUUAUGAUAUAAUGUGCCCAGUGGGCCACUUUUGGUAAGCAGAACUGGCGCUGUGGGAUGAACCAAACGUAAUGUUACGGUGCCCAAAUUAACAACUCAUGCAGAUACCAUGAAAGGCGUUGGUUGCUUAAAACAGCAGGACGGUGAUCAUGGAAGUCGAAAUCCGCUAAGGAGUGUGUAACAACUCACCUGCCGAAGCAACUAGCCCUUAAAAUGGAUGGCGCUUAAGUUGUAUACCUAUACAUUACCGCUAAAGUAGAUGAUUUAUAUUACUUGUGAUAUAAAUUUUGAAACUUUAGUGAGUAGGAAGGUACAAUGGUAUGCGUAGAAGUGUUUGGCGUAAGCCUGCAUGGAGCUGCCAUUGGUACAGAUCUUGGUGGUAGUAGCAAAUAAUCGAAUGAGACCUUGGAGGACUGAAGUGGAGAAGGGUUUCGUGUGAACAGUGGUUGAUCACGAGUUAGUCGGUCCUAAGUUCAAGGCGAAAGCCGAAAAUUUUCAAGUAAAACAAAAAUGCCUAACUAUAUAAACAAAGCGAAUAUAAUACACUUGAAUAAUUUUGAACGAAAGGGAAUACGGUUCCAAUUCCGUAACCUGUUGAGUAUCCGUUUGUUAUUAAAUAUGGGCCUCGUGCUCAUCCUGGCAACAGGAACGACCAUAAAGAAGCCGUCGAGAGAUAUCGGAAGAGUUUUCUUUUCUGUUUUAUAGCCGUACUACCAUGGAAGUCUUUCGCAGAGAGAUAUGGUAGAUGGGCUAGAAGAGCAUGACAUAUACUGUUGUGUCGAUAUUUUCUCUCUCGGACCUUGAGAGUUAUGGUGGGGACACGCAAACUUCUCAACAGGCCGUACCAAUAUCCGCAGCUGGUCUCCAGGGUGAAGAGUCUCUAGUCGAUAGAGUAAUGUAGGUAAGGGAAGUCGGCAGAUUAGAUCUCGUAGCUUCGGGAUAAGGAUUGGCUCUGAAGAUUGAGAUAGUCGGGCUUGAUUGGGAGACAAUAGCAUGGUUUAUGUGCUCGUUCUGGGUAGAUAGAGUUUCUAGCAUUUAUGUUAGUUACUUGUUUCUCGGAUAGUUUAGUUACGUAGUCGAUUGUGGAGUUUUCUUGCUAAGAUUUUUAGGAGUACUAUUUGGGUUA